rnacentral:rRNA from 1 species
GACGAACGCUGGCGGCGUGCCUAAUACAUGCAAGUUGAGCGCUGAAGGUUGGUACUUGUACCGACUGGAUGAGCAGCGAACGGGUGAGUAACGCGUGGGGAAUCUGCCUUUGAGCGGGGGACAACAUUUGGAAACGAAUGCUAAUACCGCAUAAAAACUUUAAACACAAGUUUUAAGUUUGAAAGAUGCAAUUGCAUCACUCAAAGAUGAUCCCGCGUUGUAUUAGCUAGUUGGUGAGGUAAAGGCUCACCAAGGCGAUGAUACAUAGCCGACCUGAGAGGGUGAUCGGCCACAUUGGGACUGAGACACGGCCCAAACUCCUACGGGAAGCAGCAGGAGGGAAUCUUCGGCAAUGGACGAAAGUCUGACCGAGCAACGCCGCGGGAGUGAAGAAGGGUUUCGGAUCGGAAAACUCUGUUGGUAGGGAAGAACGUUGGUGAGAGUGGAAAGCUCAUCAAGUGACGGUAACUACCCAGAAAGGGACGGCUAACUACGUG